GGAAAAUUGUCAGCUCACCGCCCGAGACAACACCGCCUUUGUUCUCCGUCUGCAGGUUCAGGGUCAGCUGUGUGUUCUCCACUGUUGGACACAAAAGGCAACGCGGAUGGGAGAAAGCAAAUGCACCCGGAGUUAAGAUUCUGGAAGUUGACCAUAAGGAAAAACUAGAGAUACUGAAGGCGUACAGAGGAAGAAAGUAGUUCCUCCAAGCAGUAUCCCUCUACUCAUAUAGAGAACAGUGGCAAAAAGAAAAGACACAGAAAUGUGGUGUGGCAAAGAGAUUCUUCUAGAUUGAAAGAAACAACCCGAAUGCAAUGCGCGUGAAUUCUGACUAACCCUUGGCUUGAAAAAAAAAUAUUCCGGGGGAAAUCUGCACGAGACUGGAUAUUAAAUAAUGUCUGAAAUUACCGUUAAUUUCCUUAGGUUUAAGAAUGGCACCAUGGUUUUACAUAUAAAUGUUCUUAUUCCUGUGAGACUCAAGAGAAGAUUAGAAUGAUAUCUGCACUUAGUCUUAAAUGGUUUUAUAGGAGAACAGGCUGAAGUUUUUAAGACUAAAGUGCUAUGAUAUCUGCAAGUUACCUUCAAAUGGUUCAGGGGGAAAAAUGCACAUUCCCACGGGCUCGCACGUAUUGGUUAAACAAAUGGGGCAAACUGUUAAAAAGGGUUGGGUCUCAGUGGAGGGCAUCUGGGUGCUCAUUGUGUUACUCUUUCCAUUC